AUUGAACGCUGGCGGCAUGCUUUACACAUGCAAGUCGAACGGUAACAGGCCGCUAGGUGCUGCCGAGUGGCGCACGGGUGAGUAAUGCACCGGAACGUGUCCAGUCGUGGGGGAGAACUACUCGCAAGAGUAGCUAAUAUCGCAUACGAUCUAUGGAUGAGAGCGGGGGGCCGUAAGGCCUCGCGCGAUUGGGGCGGGCGAUGUCAGAUUAUGUAGUUGGUGGGGUAAAGGCUCACCAAGACAACGAUCUGUAGCUGGUCUGAGAGGACGACCAGCCACACUGGGACUGAGACACGGCCCAGACUCCUACGGGAGGCAGCAGUGGGGAAUUUUGGACAAUGGGCGCAAGCCUGAUCCAGCAAUGCCGCGUGUAGGAAGAAGGCCUUCGGGUUGUAAAGUGCUUUUGUCGGGAACGAAACGGAUUUGGUUAAUACCAGGGGUUAAUGACGGUACCGUAAGAAUAAGCACCGGCUAACUACGUG
rnacentral:rRNA from 1 species